GAACGAUGAUCCCAGCUUGCUGGGGAUUAGUGGCGAACGGGUGAGUAACACGUGAGUAACCUGCCCUUAACUCUGGGAUAAGCCUGGGAAACUGGGUCUAAUACCGGAUAUGACUCCUCAUCGCAUGGUGGGGGUGGAAAGCUUUAUUGUGGUUUUGGAUGGACUCGCGGCCUAUCAGCUUGUUGGUGAGGUAAUGGCUCACCAAGGCGACGACGGGUAGCCGGCCUGAGAGGGUGACCGGCCACACUGGGACUGAGACACGGCCCAGACUCCUACGGGAGGCAGCAGUGGGGAAUAUUGCACAAUGGGCGAAAGCCUGAUGCAGCGACGCCGCGUGAGGGAUGACGGCCUUCGGGUUGUAAACCUCUUUCAGUAGGGAAGAAGCGAAAGUGACGGUACCUGCAGAAGAAGCGCCGGCUAACUACGUGCCAGCAGCCGCGGUAAUACGUAGGGCGCAAGCGUUAUCCGGAAUUAUUGGGCGUAAAGAGCUCGUAGGCGGUUUGUCGCGUCUGCCGUGAAAGUCCGGGGCUCAACUCCGGAUCUGCGGUGGGUACGGGCAGACUAGAGUGAUGUAGGGGAGACUGGAAUUCCUGGUGUAGCGGUGAAAUGCGCAGAUAUCAGGAGGAACACCGAUGGCGAAGGCAGGUCUCUGGGCAUUAACUGACGCUGAGGAGCGAAAGCAUGGGGAGCGAACAGGAUUAGAUACCCUGGUAGUCCAUGCCGUAAACGUUGGGCACUAGGUGUGGGGGACAUUCCACGUUUUCCGCGCCGUAGCUAACGCAUUAAGUGCCCCGCCUGGGGAGUACGGCCGCAAGGCUAAAACUCAAAGGAAUUGACGGGGGCCCGCACAAGCGGCGGAGCAUGCGGAUUAAUUCGAUGCAACGCGAAGAACCUUACCAAGGCUUGACAUGAACCGGAAACACCUGGAAACAGGUGCCCCGCUUGCGGUCGGUUUACAGGUGGUGCAUGGUUGUCGUCAGCUCGUGUCGUGAGAUGUUGGGUUAAGUCCCGCAACGAGCGCAACCCUCGUUCUAUGUUGCCAGCGCGUUAUGGCGGGGACUCAUAGGAGACUGCCGGGGUCAACUCGGAGGAAGGUGGGGACGACGUCAAAUCAUCAUGCCCCUUAUGUCUUGGGCUUCACGCAUGCUACAAUGGCCGGUACAAAGGGUUGCGAUACUGUGAGGUGGAGCUAAUCCCAAAAAGCCGGUCUCAGUUCGGAUUGGGGUCUGCAACUCGACCCCAUGAAGUCGGAGUCGCUAGUAAUCGCAG
rnacentral:rRNA from 1 species